rnacentral:piRNA from 1 species
AGUUUCUGUCCUGCAAAAUGGUGU